UUUAAAAAAAAAAAGCAAGUAACAAAAGCAAAACAAGAGAAUGAGUGGUUUGAUCAAGAGACAUUUGGACAGAGGUUAUGAAAUAGUUCAAUGUGAAAAAUUAGAGAAUACAAUUUGUACUAGAGUUAGAACAACCAAUAUAACAAAACUGUACCAUACUUCUAAGAUUCAAGAUAUCCUUCAUAGAAUAUUAGAAUAGCAACUUGCUGUACUGAAUAUGAAUGUAAUAGGUAGAGAAAAUCCAGAGAAUUGCUCAGUGGCCAUUUAAGGCACAAAAAUUUUCUGGCCAAACAAUUGGUUAGAGUACAGCAAACAUUCCAACUUUGACUAAAAGAAAGAAGCAUUCAACGAGCGUAUAAAGAAGAUUAGUGAGAGGUGCAUAUAUAUUCAUGUACCAAACAUCAAACACUUGGUCCUCAAUAUAAAAAAUUCUUGAAGGAAUAAAUCACGCCCUUCAAAAUCAUCAAUGGCAAGACAAUAGCCUCCUAUUUUCAAACCCACAUAUCAUUUGAGUGAUAAAAACUAAACUUCAACUAGCUUUGCCAGAUGUCCAGGACAUUUUGGUAAAGGAUAUAUUCCCUUGCCUGGAGACCCAUUGGCACAAACAAAAUCUAAGGCAAACUUUGAGAACAUAUGUUAUUGUAACACUAGGAAAUUGCUAACUUGAAAAAAGGCCAUGGAGGCAUUGCAAAUUGAGGCACCAGGAAAUGGAAAUUUUAUGGCUUAAUAAAAUCACUUGACCAUCAUAUUAAGCUACAUAAGUAUCAUAAAGUUUGCAUCUUAACAUAAGUUUAAAGCAACAUUACCAAGGCUUGACCAGGUUGGAUACAUGUUGAAAGGAAGGUUUUCUUAAAGACAUACUGACACAGAUGAAAAUUUCAUUUCAGAAACUCCAUUUGAGAAUAACAAGUAGGAAAAAGCCAUAUUUCCCAACUAUUGGUGUAUAUAGGAUACCAUGUCUUUCAUCGCUGCCUUUUCACACUUUCUCAUUUAUGAUUUGCUCAGCCUCAUAGCAAAUUCAAGUUACAACACAUCUCUCAUGCUGGUGUAGUAAUUUCCCCAAAUUCACAUGGGAAAAUAAUCUAGUCUAAUUGCUAUAAUAUUUUUUAACUGCAGUUCUCAUAAAAGCAAUUUUUAUAACAUAAACUAGCCAGGCAUUUUUAAUAACAUUCGCAAUCCAGCCUUAUCAAAUUCUUAAGUGAUUUUCCAACAAAAUGACCAUUGAGCAUAUAUGACAAUUACUGAAUUUAUAACUAGAUAUAAUGCUUCCUCUGCAUACCGCUUGCCUUACAACUGUUUAUUCCUUCACUUCUUAUUUUAGUUCCAAACUCACAAUAAAUUCGCAUUCGUAUCCAAGAUUUUAUCUCCAUUAUCCAACGAAGUUAAAGAUUCUAUAAAGACACAAAAACCCAAAAGCUUAUCAAAUAGCUGGGAUUUUUCUAGACUCGUGUUCAUGUAUAAGGUAUCCGUCUUCACUUACGUCGCAAGAGAAUAUCACGACAAGCCUACAGCCCUUCAACAUCUCACAUCAAAUUGGAAUAACUUGAAUUAUCCAGUAAAUAAUAUAUGGAAGUCAGAAACCCACAUACAGGAAGUGGAAAGAUAUGUAUAUUCAAAUAUGUAGGAAUGUCACCAACAAUAAAGUAGUGAAUGAAAAAAGAACCUGAAAUCGGAUAAUGAACUCUUCCUCCUUAUCAACGAAGAAAUCAUUGAACUUGUCGAGCUCUUCAUUUAAAAUUCUAAUAAACCAUUCUUGGAGGAGCACCAAGGACCUGUUUGUACCACUCUCAGGAUGAGGAUAAUCAGCAGAAGCAGGGGCAGGGGGAGACGGAAGCCGUUGAUGGAGAAGAAAAAUAGGGUGAAAGGUGGAAGAGCCAUCAGAAGUUGCAGGGAACUGCUUGAGGAGUUUCUUGAGGGGCUUGUAGCACAGAAACUUGUCCCUCCAGUCCGGCAGGGUUUCCUCAAGGUGGGUCUUGAACUCCUUCCCAAACUUCAUAGCUUAUGUUUGAUUUUUCUGUCUUGAUUAUCUCGAUGGGCCGC
rnacentral:misc_RNA from 1 species